CGAUGUGGGAAGGCACAGACAGCCAGGAUGUUGGCUUAGAAGCAGCCAUCAUUUAAAGAAAGCGUAAUAGCUCACUGGUCGAGUCGGCCUGCGCGGAAGAUGUAACGGGGCUAAACCAUGCACCGAAGCUGCGGCAGCGACACUAUGUGUUGUUGGGUAGGGGAGCGUUCUGUAAGCCGUCGAAGGUGUGCUGUGAGGCAUGCUGGAGGUAUCAGAAGUGCGAAUGCUGACAUAAGUAACGAUAAAGCGGGUGAAAAGCCCGCUCGCCGGAAGACCAAGGGUUCCUGUCCAACGUUAAUCGGGGCAGGGUGAGUCGACCCCUAAGGCGAGGCCGAAAGGCGUAGUCGAUGGGAAACAGGUUAAUAUUCCUGUACUUGGUGUUACUGCGAAGGGGGGACGGAGAAGGCUAUGUUAGCCGGGCGACGGUUGUCCCGGUUUAAGCAUGUAGGCGGAGGUUCCAGGUAAAUCCGGUACCUUUUUAACGCUGAGGUGUGAUGACGAGGCACUACGGUGCUGAAGUAACAAAUGCCCUGCUUCCAGGAAAAGCCUCUAAGCAUCAGGUAACACGAAAUCGUACCCCAAACCGACACAGGUGGUCAGGUAGAGAAUACCAAGGCGCUUGAGAGAACUCGGGUGAAGGAACUAGGCAAAAUGGUGCCGUAACUUCGGGAGAAGGCACGCUGAUAUGUAGGUGAAGUCCCUGCGGAUGGAGCUGAAAUCAGUCGAAGAUACCAGCUGGCUGCAACUGUUUAUUAAAAACACAGCACUGUGCAAACACGAAAGUGGACGUAUACGGUGUGACGCCUGCCCGGUGCCGGAAGGUUAAUUGAUGGGGUUAGUGGCAACGCGAAGCUCUUGAUCGAAGCCCCGGUAAACGGCGGCCGUAACUAUAACGGUCCUAAGGUAGCGAAAUUCCUUGUCGGGUAAGUUCCGACCUGCACGAAUGGCGUAAUGAUGGCCAGGCUGUCUCCACCCGAGACUCAGUGAAAUUGAACUCGCUGUGAAGAUGCAGUGUACCCGCGGCAAGACGGAAAGACCCCGUGAACCUUUACUAUAGCUUGACACUGAACACUGGUCCUUGAUGUGUAGGAUAGGUGGGAGGCUUUGAAGCGUGGACGCCAGUCUGCGUGGAGCCAUCCUUGAAAUACCACCCUUUAAUGGCUGGUGUUCUAACGUAGACCCGUUACCCGGGUUGCGGACAGUGUCUGGUGGGUAGUUUGACUGGGGCGGUCUCCUCCUAAAGAGUAACGGAGGAGCACGAAGGUUAGCUAAUCCUGGUCGGACAUCAGGAGGUUAGUGCAAUGGCAUAAGCUAGCUUGACUGCGAGAGUGACGGCUCGAGCAGGUGCGAAAGCAGGUCAUAGUGAUCCGGUGGUUCUGAAUGGGAGGGCCAUCGCUCAACGGAUAAAAGGUACUCCGGGGAUAACAGGCUGAUACCGCCCAAGAGUUCAUAUCGACGGCGGUGUUUGGCACCUCGAUGUCGGCUCAUCACAUCCUGGGCUGAAGUAGGUCCCAAGGGUAUGGCUGUUCGCCAUUUAAAGUGGUACGCGAGCUGGGUUUAGAACGUCGUGAGACAGUUCGGUCCCUAUCUGCCGUGGGCGCUGGAGAAUUGAGGGGNGCUGCUCCUAGUACGAGAGGACCGGAGUGGACGCAUCACUGGUGUUCGGGUUGUCAUGCCAAUGGCAUUGCCCGGUAGCUAAAUGCGGAAGAGAUAAGUGCUGAAAGCAUCUAAGCACGAAACUUGCCCCGAGAUGAGUUCUCCCUGAGACUUUAAGUCUCCUGAAGGAACGUUGAAGACUACGACGUUGAUAGGUCGGGUGUGUAAGCGUAGCGAUACGUUGAGCUAACCGAUACUAAUGAACCGUGAGGCUUAACCUU
rnacentral:rRNA from 1 species